rnacentral:lncRNA from 1 species
AGGAACAUUAAAUAUCUUCAAAGCUUUAAAGAUGGCAAUGUCUAGUUGAGAGAUUUUAAAUAUCAGAUCGUCUACUUUCCAAGCUAUUGAUUGAAUCAAGUAUGGUAUAGGUUUUAAAUAAGAAAAUAAAAGAAGAAAUGAAUCAAGGAAAGAAGAAAAAGCGAAGAUGAAUGAUUCCUGAUCAAAAGCUUGUUGCAGCCAC